GACGGUCUGUUUGGGCAAGUGAACGGUAGGUCGGGGUCGCUGGCAAGCACUCCAUCAUAAAAAAAGAUCCCCACAAGUGCUCAAUCGAAAGGGCAUUUCAUUUCGUUUUGCUGCUUCGUGAGACCCGGACCCGAACACGGCUUUAAGUUGGCUUUCGCUCUAUCUUUUCGGGUUGCUUCGGGUUCCGAACAGCACGCCACAACGACAGCCUUAGCGAAAGACCUCUUCAUUUGCCUUCGUUUAGUUUAGCUUAAAGUUAGGUUACGCGUCUGUAGAGAUGUGGAGAAGGGACACCCUCCGCCUCCGCCUCCGCCACGGCCUCGCCGGCCGGGGUCCUGAUAUAAUCCUCCUCCUUCGCCGCCGCUUCCAAGAACAAGGCGGGCGACGAAGAGGGACCUAAGCUAGAUAACUAUGCGCGAAGGCCGCCGGGCGUCUGGCUAGGAGUACCGGCCGACCUGGCUAAGGCCGCCGUCGGCCCCCGCUCCUCCUCCUCCUCCGCCGCCGCCGAAGAGUUUGGCGCCGCCGCCGUUGCGGUUGUUGUUGUGGUACACCUCUCUCUCUUGCGGUGGAGUCGGAGUCGGAGUCGGCGGCGGCGUCGGAGUCGGCGGCGGCGUCGUUGUCGUUGUCGUUGUCGUAGUGGUGGUUGUUGUCGUGGUAGUCGUUGUCGUUGUCGUAGUGGUGGUUGUUGUCGUGGUAGUCGUCGUCGUCGUCGUAGCGAUGGCAGGACAGUUGGUGUUACUGGUGAGGAGCGUCGUGGGCGCGGUGGGUGGCCGCCCCCUCGACCUGGCUGUGGUUCCCGUCCCUCCGAGGAGGUGAAGGUGGGCCGCGGGCGCCGGUUGAGCAGGUGGUGUCGGAGCGGGGUGGAAGUGUCUGGUGUUCGGCAGAGGAUGGAGGUGUGGGUUACGGUUGCUUGGCCUGCUGUUCCGGUCCACGUUACGACGGUUAAAGCUCACGUUGCAGACGAAACUGUACCGUCUGCUGGGGCAUCAGUGGUUCACACCGGUAGAGAAGACGACCCUGACGGAGAUGGUCACCGAGGUACAGGUGAGGUUGGUGGCGCUCACGGGACAGACGUUCCCGGUCCAGCGACUGCUACGGUAAUAUGGGUAGAUACCUGCACCGCCGAGACGUCGCAGACAAGUGCGGCGUGGCGGCUCCGGGUGACCCCGGUCUCAACUUUCGAGGUCUGUCGUCGUCGACGUCGUCAAACGACGAAGGUUGAACUUAUACUACUACCUGCUUCUACUACUUCUGCUGCUGGGGAAAGAGCUCCUCUAAUCAGAAGCAAAACCUCAAUUAAGCGACUCUCCACCAUACUACUAGUAUGGGCUACUACUGUAGCUUGUUCUAAUACUACUGAUGUGACUAGGGAUGGAGGUGGCGUUGAAACUACUCCAUAUACCGGAACUAAAUUACGCUGAGGGUAACAAAUCUAGACGACUGCGACGACUUCGGCACUAACCGAGAAGGGCAGCUGUACCAGUAGUAUCACAAAAAAGACUACUGUAAUACCUAUGUAAGAAACUGUUGUGUUGGGUAGUCCUCGGUCUAAAACCAAUGGCGCCACCAGCCGCAGUCGCGCCCUCUCGUUCUCCUUGUUGUAGACGUCUAGUAAAGUUGCUAGUGUAGCAACCGUACCACAACCCCUCAUCGAACUCCUAGCUCCUGUCGUCGCCACGUAGAAUGGCACUGUGGCCACGACCAGGAGUAGUAGUAUAAUUAUUAUGUCCACCAAGGAGAGCCGGAUUACCACCUACCCUCUCUUCUCCUUCUUCGUUGGCAUUAAGUUUAAGGCCACCACCUUCUCCUUGCGUCUUAUCGUCCUCCGUUCCUCGUUUAAUGUUAACUAGUACCGGACUUUCACCGUUAGUUUAUUUAGGUCGGAACUUAAUAAGAAAGAAGACUAAGAGACAAGACAAUGAAAACAUCAGCGGGGUAGACCCGUGGAACUAUUCGUAUAUAAACUGAUAACCCCACUUACAAAGAAGAGCAACUACGUUAAUUGUAAUGUACACCAAUAUAUGAGAAACGGUAA
rnacentral:rRNA from 1 species